rnacentral:tRNA from 1 species
GGCCCUGUAGCUCAGUUCGCGAAAGAGCGCUCGCCUGAAAAGCGAGAGGUCGCCCGUUCAAAUCGGGCCGGGGCCAC